rnacentral:rRNA from 1 species
CUCGUAGGCGGUUUGAUAAGUCCUGUGUGAAAUCCCUUGGCUUAACCAAGGAACUGCGCCGGAUACUGUCGAACUAGAGGCCGGGAGAGGGAAGCGGAAUUCCGAGUGUAGCGGUGAAAUGCGUAGAUAUUCGGAGGAACACCGGUGGCGAAGGCGGCUUCCUGGACCGGUUCUGACGCUAAAGGGCGAAAGCUAGGGUAGCAAACA